rnacentral:rRNA from 1 species
UACGUAGGUGGCAAGCGUUGUCCGGAAUUAUUGGGCGUAAAGCGCGCGCAGGCGGUCCUUUAAGUCUGAUGUGAAAGCCCACGGCUCAACCGUGGAGGGUCAUUGGAAACUGGGGGGACUUGAGUGCAGGAGAGAAGAGUGGAAUUCCACGUGUAGCGGUGAAAUGCGUAGAGAUGUGGAGGAACACCGUGGCGAAGGCGACUCUUUGGCCUGUAACUGACGCU